rnacentral:tRNA from 1 species
GCGCGAGUGGCUCAGUGGCAGAGCAUCGCCUUGCCAUGGCGAGGAUCGCGGGUUCGAAUCCCGUCUCGCGCU